UAGGAAGGGGGCUAGCGUUGUUCGGAAUUACUGGGCGUAAAGCGCACGUAGGCGGAUUCUUAAGUCAGGUGUGAAAUCCCGGGGCUCAACCUCGGAACUGCAUUUGAAACUGGGAAUCUAGAGACCAGGGGAGGUUAGCGGAAUACCGAGUGUAGAGGUGAAAUUCGUAGAUAUUCGGUGGAACACCAGUGGCGAAGGCGGCUAACUGGACUGGUACUGACGCUGAGGUGCGAACGUGUGGGGAGCAAACAGG
rnacentral:rRNA from 1 species